CCCUUAGAUGUUCUGGGCCGCACGCGCGCUACACUGACGAAUGCAACGAGCUUAUAACCUUGGCCGAAAGGUCUGGGUAAUCUCCAAAUUUCGUCGUGAUGGGGAUAGAUUAUUGCAAUUAUUAAUCUUCAACGAGGAAUGCCUAGUAAGCGCAAGUCAUCAGCUUGCGUUGAUUACGUCCCUGCCCUUUGUACACACCGCCCGUCGCACCUACCGAUUGAAUGGUCCGGUGAAAUCUCGGGACGGCGGCUCGGUCGCUUGCGUCCGACUGCUGAAACUUGAUUAAACCAUAUCAUUUAGAGGAAGGUGAAGUCGUAACA
rnacentral:rRNA from 1 species